CUUUUGUAGAAUGAACCGGCGAGUUACGAUUUGAUGCAAGGUUAAGCAGUAAAUGUGGAGCCGUAGCGAAAGCGAGUCUGAAUAGGGCGUUUAGUAUUUGGUCGUAGACCCGAAACCAGGUGAUCUACCCUUGGUCAGGUUGAAGUUCAGGUAACACUGAAUGGAGGACCGAACCGACUUACGUUGAAAAGUGAGCGGAUGAACUGAGGGUAGCGGAGAAAUUCCAAUCGAACCUGGAGAUAGCUGGUUCUCUCCGAAAUAGCUUUAGGGCUAGCCUCAAGUGAUGAUUAUUGGAGGUAGAGCACUGUUUGGACGAGGGGCCCCUCUCGGGUUACCGAAUUCAGACAAACUCCGAAUGCCAAUUAAUUUAACUUGGGAGUCAGAACAUGGGUGAUAAGGUCCGUGUUCGAAAGGGAAACAGCCCAGACCACCAGCUAAGGUCCCAAAAUAUAUGUUAAGUGGAAAAGGAUGUGGCGUUGCCCAGACAACUAGGAUGUUGGCUUAGAAGCAGCCAUCAUUUAAAGAGUGCGUAAUAGCUCACUAGUCGAGUGACACUGCGCCGAAAAUGUACCGGGGCUAAACAUAUUACCGAAGCUGUGGAUUGUCCUUUGGACAAUGGUAGGAGAGCGUUCUAAGGGCGUUGAAGCAUGAUCGUAAGGACAUGUGGAGCGCUUAGAAGUGAGAAUGCCGGUGUGAGUAGUGAAAGACGGGUGAGAAUCCCGUCCACCGAUUGACUAAGGUUUCCAGAGGAAGGCUCGUCCGCUCUGGGUUAGUCGGGUCCUAAGCUGAGGCCGACAGGCGUAGGCGAUGGAUAACAGGUUGAUAUUCCUGUACCACCUAUAAUCGUUUUAAUCGAUGGGGGGACGCAGUAGGAUAGGCGAAGCGUGCGAUUGGAUUGCACGUCUAAGCAGUAAGGCUGAGUAUUAGGCAAAUCCGGUACUCGUUAAGGCUGAGCUGUGAUGGGGAGAAGACAUUGUGUCUUCGAGUCGUUGAUUUCACACUGCCGAGAAAAGCCUCUAGAUAGAAAAUAGGUGCCCGUACCGCAAACCGACACAGGUAGUCAAGAUGAGAAUUCUAAGGUGAGCGAGCGAACUCUCGUUAAGGAACUCGGCAAAAUGACCCCGUAACUUCGGGAGAAGGGGUGCUCUUUAGGGUUAACGCCCAGAAGAGCCGCAGUGAAUAGGCCCAAGCGACUGUUUAUCAAAAACACAGGUCUCUGCUAAACCGUAAGGUGAUGUAUAGGGGCUGACGCCUGCCCGGUGCUGGAAGGUUAAGAGGAGUGGUUAGCUUCUGCGAAGCUACGAAUCGAAGCCCCAGUAAACGGCGGCCGUAACUAUAACGGUCCUAAGGUAGCGAAAUUCCUUGUCGGGUAAGUUCCGACCCGCACGAAAGGCGUAACGAUUUGGGCACUGUCUCAACGAGAGACUCGGUGAAAUCAUAGUACCUGUGAAGAUGCAGGUUACCCGCGACAGGACGGAAAGACCCCGUGGAGCUUUACUGUAGCCUGAUAUUGAAAUUCGGCACAGCUUGUACAGGAUAGGUAGGAGCCUUUGAAACGUGAGCGCUAGCUUACGUGGAGGCGUUGGUGGGAUACUACCCUAGCUGUGUUGGCUUUCUAACCCGCACCACUUAUCGUGGUGGAAGACAGUGUCAGGCGGGCAGUUUGACUGGGGCGGUCGCCUCCUAAAAGGUAACGGAGGCGCUCAAAGGUUCCCUCAGAAUGGUUGGAAAUCAUUCAUAGAGUGUAAAGGCAUAAGGGAGCUUGACUGCGAGACCUACAAGUCGAGCAGGGUCGAAAGACGGACUUAGUGAUCCGGUGGUUCCGCAUGGAAGGGCCAUCGCUCAACGGAUAAAAGCUACCCCGGGGAUAACAGGCUUAUCUCCCCCAAGAGUUCACAUCGACGGGGAGGUUUGGCACCUCGAUGUCGGCUCAUCGCAUCCUGGGGCUGUAGUCGGUCCCAAGGGUUGGGCUGUUCGCCCAUUAAAGCGGUACGCGAGCUGGGUUCAGAACGUCGUGAGACAGUUCGGUCCCUAUCCGUCGUGGGCGUAGGAAAUUUGAGAGGAGCUGUCCUUAGUACGAGAGGACCGGGAUGGACAUACCUCUGGUGUACCAGUUGUCGUGCCAACGGCAUAGCUGGGUAGCUAUGUGUGGACGGGAUAAGUGCUGAAAGCAUCUAAGCAUGAAGCCCCCCUCAAGAUGAGAUUUCCCAACUUCGGUUAUAAGAUCCCUCAAAGAUGAUGAGGUUAAUAGGUUCGAGGUGGAAGCAUGGUGACAUGUGGAGCUGACGAAUACUAAUCGAUCGAAGACUUAAUCAA
rnacentral:rRNA from 1 species